rnacentral:rRNA from 1 species
CCCUUAGAUGUUCUGGGCCGCACGCGCGCUACACUGACGAAUGCAACGAGCUUAUAACCUUGGCCGAAAGGUCUGGGUAAUCUCCAAAUUUCGUCGUGAUGGGGAUAGAUUAUUGCAAUUAUUAAUCUUCAACGAGGAAUGCCUAGUAAGCGCAAGUCAUCAGCUUGCGUUGAUUACGUCCCUGCCCUUUGUACACACCGCCCGUCGCUCCUACCGAUUGAAUGGUCCGGUGAAGCGUUCGGACCGUGGCCUUUGGACGGUUCGCCGUCUGUUGGCUGCGGGAAGUUCGUUAAACCUUAUCACUUAGAGGAAGGAGAAGUCGUAACA